AACAAAAAAUGUCGAUCCAUCUUAUAUUGUGAAAGGAAGAGCAUUGUCGUGCCAUAUGGAUCUAUAUUUUCGGGGAUAUAAGAUCUCCCCUAGAUAAAUCAUCUCAUAUGUGUUUCAUGAUUUUUUUAUUUUUUGAUUUUACAAUUUGAACAUCAAUUUUUACACAAUGAUCCAAUAUUAAAUAUUUAUGAAUUUAUUUUAUUUUUUUAUUAUUCUAUUACGCAUGUGAUACUUCAACAACUACCACAUCUCAUUAAGGCCUUUGAUGACAACAUUGACCCGUUGAAACACAUAAUGGCUUUUUGCACCCAAAUAUCAUUCUCUCUCCUCUUAUGAUUGAAAAAGUGUUCAUUUGAGACGAUUCCGAAGAUACUUGGUUGGAUAAUGAAUUCGAAAAGCAUUGAAUAAAAGAUUCAAAAAAAUGCCCAAAUCCACGACGAUAAAAAUAAAAAUAAAAUAUACCCAAUGCAUGUGAGUAAAAAAAUUCUACCAAAGAAUCUACUAUGAUAAAAGCAUAAGACAAAACAUGCCAUGUGAGUAAAAAAAAAAACCUGAACAAUGCAAAAUCCAUGAUAAUUGAGGUAUAAAUAAAAUAUGCUCAAGACAUAUAAACGAAAAACCCAAAUAAAAUUUAUCAGGAUAAAAACACAAUAAAAUAUAACCGAGUUAAAUAAUAAAUUUUUUUUUACAUAUAUAAAAAAAUUUACAAUGCAAAAAUAAAUAAUAAAAUAUUCUUAAGACAUGCGAGUUAAAAAAACUCAAUCCACGAGAAAUCCAUCACAACGAAAACAAAAAAUAAAAUAUGCUAAAAAAACAAGAGUAAAAAAUUUUUAACUCAUAUAAGGCAAUCCAUUAUUAUGGAGACAUACGACAAAUAUACCCAAGACACGAGUUGAAAAAUCAUGACCCACAAAAAUCUAACACAAUUAAAAGAUAAGACAAAAUAGUCCAAGGUACAUGAGUCAAGAAAUCUCAACUCAUGAGAAAAUAUCUCAAACGCUUUCAUGUCAAACAAACUAAAUAUUAUACUUCCAACCCUUCUCGCAAAAGCCCCGAAACACACUUUCGACUAGACACAAGAUAAAAGAUAUAUUGUCGACUAAUCGACAUAUAAACAUCAUCUAGAGUCUAUGCUGCCUUUCAUUCGACUAAUCAACAUUCAACAUAUAAACAUCAUCUAGAGUCUAUGCUACCUUUCAUUUAUCUACUCACGUGAACAAAAAUCUAAUAAAUAUUUCAUGAAAUAUUUUCAACCCUCUCCCACUUAAAAAAUAUUUUAUAAAAUAUUUUAUUAUUUCUGAUCAAAUAUAAAAAUACAUCUUUAACACAAGAAGUAAAAGACUUUUUUACCACUCACGUACAAACUCAAAGAUUUCAUAUGACACGAGAGCUCAACAUUUAUACCUCGAAUGUAUAAUCCAAAUCACGUCAAGCUGACAUAAUUAUUAAUAAUAUUCUCUUAUCAAAAGAAAAUAACAAUAAUCUUAUUAAAAUUUGAUGCAAAUAUGACGCACACAAAUAGGCACCCAUUAAGUGUCAAAAAUGUCGAGAUCAACAUUAACUAAAACAACUACUAAACUAUGAAAAUACAAAGCAAAAUGAAUCAAAAUUGUUUUUAAAUAUAAGAAAAUAAACUAGAAAAGAACAGAACAUAUUUAUCCCACUCACUCGCCAUCCCUCUCAACAAAUCACUUUCACAUCCAAAAGAUCACUAAGCAAAUCAUUCUGAAAGCCUAUGUCUCAGACCGUACUACUUCGUAAUAUUUUCCACAGCGCAACUGCAAGAACUUGGUUUCAGCCAUAAAAAAUUAGCAUCAUUCCCAACAAAUACCACAUUUAUCACCAUGACACAUUAGCAAGACAUCAACUGGCUUUCAAGCCAAUCUAUACCACUAACCAAACACUCCUCUGAAACGAAAGAUGAGCAAAAAGAAGACUUUGAACAUAAACAAACCAAAGUAAUAUUCAACAGCAAGGAUGUGUCAGAAUGAAUACUGUCAGCAGCCAUAUACAUCAGACAGGGAUAACUGUAUUGCACUCAUAUUCUCAUCAUCCACAAAAUUGCUGUCAUCAUCAACAAAAAGAAGGAAGAAAUUCCAAGACAUAUGCAAUUUGAACUAAACUGUUUUCGCCAUGAAAGAAGAGGAAAAGAAAGCCAACAGGGGAUCUAUCAGAUCUUCCUAUUCAAUAUAUAGCAGGUAUCAUCAGCACCCAAUCUAGCGAAUUGGACGCUUCCCGACCAAGAAGUACUCAUCAUUUAGAUCCCCGGCAACUAUUUCAACUAAGAAAUCAAUCUUCCACGGAGAAAGACGAGAGUUUGGAAGCGAUUCAACCUAGGAAGCAGAGAGAGCCGGCGGUGGGGCUGGCGAUAUAAAAGGAGGUCGAAGGAUUGGUUUGGCGCUAGGGUUUUGAUGUGUCACACGAUCGAAGCCGUUGGAUGGUGUCCAAGGAUCGUUACUCGUCGAUGGAUCGGAUCUGAUUU
rnacentral:lncRNA from 1 species